GUGCCCGGGGCUGUUUUCCGCCCCUUUUGGGGGGACGGCGCGGGCAGCGUGUGUGGCCGGACGGGGCAUCCGUCCCGCGGGGCUCCUGGCUCAGCCACCCCGCGGCAGCCCCACUUUGUUCCCCCGCUCCGCGGGGCGCGAAGAACGGCGCGGGGGGCGCGGAUCCAUCUCCCGCAGGCUCAGGAUGCCAGACCGCCCCGUGGGGGGAGGGCGGAGGAAAAACAUCAAAAAACGGAAAGAGUUUGGAGUUUCGUUGAGAAACAAGCGAAACAAAACGCUGAGUUAGAAAAAUAAAAUAAAAGCCAAGAACUUGGAUCAAAAUCCCCGAAGGACACCCCCCCGCAAGUAACUCCAGCAGAUCCAGCUGUCCCGCUCCGCUGCCCAACGCGGUCCCGUCUCCCCGCAAGAACUUCAGAUUCCAUCUCAAAUGGAGUGUCCAGGAUUGCAGAGCACAUUUCUUCACAUGCUGUAAGCAGCUUUCUACAGUUUAGCUGAGUUUCCUCAGGACUGGACACAAUCAUUAAACUCUGCUGAGCACACUCCUAGUCACUGGCUCCCUAGAAGAUAAUUCUCUAAGAACAGAAUUCAAUUUCAGCCAGUGUUGCUCUCCGAGGGCUGCCAGACCUGCUGCUCCCUUGCCCCACUGGUAAUGGAUUGCUCUAAAGUAGGACAAGACCUGCCUGUGUUCAGUGAUGGGAGUCACACUGAGCAGAAGCAAUUAGGUAAACUCAGUGCAAAGAAAACCUGCAUUGAAAUCUGUGCAAGUAAUAGGUACUUCUUGUCAACUUCGAUAAGAGACAUUUGAAAGGAAUUCCAAAUGUAUUCUCAAAGCUAGCUUUUCUGUGUCUCUGAAAGAGUGGAAACGAGAUCUAGGAGAGCAUGCAAGCCACAGAAGAGACCUGUUCUAGAUGAAGUCUACUUUUGAAAUCAUUGUACCUAUAGUUAAUAAACAAGCCCUCAUCUACAGACACUGGGAACAAUUAUGCAUCUUUUACUCUGAAUUUGUUGGAAAAAAUAUUAUCUGCUUUUAUAUACUUAUUUUCUUCAUGACUUUAUUACAAGAAUCUUGGCUUUAGCUUAUUUUGUAUAAAUGGCUUUAGAUCAUCUUGUUUGAGUGGUCUUGUAGAAUGGCCCAAAAUGUACACUUGAUGGUAAGAAUAAGCAUUCAUUUAACUUCAAA